rnacentral:tRNA from 1 species
GUGGUUGUGGCUCAGGGGUAGAGUGCUUGCCUGGCACGUGUGAGGCACUGGGUUCAAUUCUCAGCACCACA